rnacentral:lncRNA from 10 species
CAGAGAUUAACCUCGCCUUUGGUUGUCAUAUUUCUGUAUUCUCUUUUAAUUUGGAGUCAUUCUUUCAUGACGUGUGAAACAUUUUGUAAAAUCUAGGCUCUUUGUUUUUCAGAGUGAUUCGCAAUCUAGAUACAUCUGAUUGCUCCCCUGCCUGGACUAGAUGAGAUUAAGCAUUUUUGCAAGAAUACAGAUUAAACAGUUUCCUAAUGAGUGGAUUCAGAUUAAACAUGGGCAGCGUGGUGUACUUCUUAGUGCCUCACACCAGGAGACGUUUGAGUCUGUCUGUCCCAUAAUUUGUGAUGCUGUAUUUGGUAAUUUUGGCCAAGGUGGAGUCAGCUAGGCAUCUCUUUGUGAAGGUAGCCUUUCCCCUUUGUUAUUAGUCAGUCAUCUGUGGGAUGAGACAUGAAAGCCCUGUGAACAUCCUGUUCCCUGACAACCCUUCAGAGCUGGUUUCAGUGCCACUGCUGAAGCCUCUGGGAAACGUUGAUUACACUCACGGUGACGGUGGCAAUUUCUUGAAUUCCUUCUACAUUGACUGCCUGCGUUAUUCAGUGAAGCAGACAUGGCCUAUUCCCUACAUUUGCCCCUUGAAAAUGUUCAAUUUUAAUUUAAAAGAUUAAUACAGCCAGGAUAUUCUUUCAACAGGCAAAUAAAAACCGCAGUUUAAACUCUAAGUUUCAAUCAGAAACUAACAGCUCUUGGAUUUCCCAGGGCUCACACUCCUCUGAAACAACUCACGAAGAGCCUGAGGAAGCAGUUCUCACUGGAAAAUGCAAGAAAGUAUGUUCCGGUGAAGACCCUCAGCUCUGUUCAUUUUCAUGAUGCAAAUGCCCACAAAGGUGGUUUUGACCUGACUGACCCUGUGCAAGGAGGCACAGUCUCCUCACCAGCAUAAGCACGUGGCAUCAGAUGCGGAGACAGUUUUGGACGUGGAUGGAUGUUUACACACUGAGACUCCUUCAGUGUCCCUUCAAGAAAAUGUGGACACAAUGUCUCUGAAGCCUGUUAGUGACCAUAGAAUUAAUUUCACUAAUACCUUUCGGUCACCGACUCCUGAAAAGAGAACACGUGAAUAUCAUGAGUCCGUUGAAAAAAGACAAAAUGAAUCUCACACAGAAUGUGGUCUAUGGAAAUGAAGAGGGCAGAGGGGUCAUGGACCUUGCCUGUCACACAUCUUUUACGAGCAAACAAAAUGUGAUGAGAUGACUGAAGACUUGAGAUCUGGUUAGUGAUACCACCAAUGAGAUGAGCACCACAGUUAUUCAAGCCAGCCCAGCCCUGUCCGAGGAAUAGGCUGUGGAAAAAUUGAGAGAAUUUCCAUUUCAGAAUAUAGGAAAAGGAACAUAAAGGAACAUUACCAUCUAUGAUCCCAAACGACUGAUAUGAAAAAAUGACUGCAACUACUUCUCUGAGUAGCAAGCCUAAAGAUGUAAAACCUAACCUUAGAUCAAGUGAAGAUCCUUCCUCCAAAAGUGGAGAUCUGUUGGAACCCAGUGAGGUGGAUUGGACGUCAGACCUCAAGAAAGUGGACCGGAUCGGGCUGGCUCUCCUGAGCAAGUCAGGUCUGAGUCGUCAGACGGGGUCAGCUGCUCACACCUCCCUGUGUCCUGCCAGGAGACUGUAGAUGAUGAUCAAAGAAUCAUCACUAAAGCUACGUCAACUGCAAGUUGUGAGCUCAGAGGCCGGGACCUGUUCCCAGCGGAACCAUUCAUGGCUCUGCAGCUGAGACGCAGAACAUGGGGCUGCGGUGCCUGCACUCUUGAUGUCACCCCUCCCAGCACAGCUUCCUUCAGCCAGAGGUAUUGAAGAACACUCCCUUCAGCUGGAAGUGUCGCCCUGCCUCAGUGCCAGGCUGGCAGGGCCAUAGCCUGUGGCUUCUCAGGAGGCCAUCCCUAUCCAGCUGUCACGGGAGAGCAUGUGCAGAACUCUGUGGCUGUGGAAUUUGGGACCAAAUACCGGCUCUGGAUGGAUGGGCACCUCUUCCAUCUGCGACCCAUAUUCUGAUGCCUCACAUCGGAACCUGCUAAGCACAGCGAAGCCUUUUCCUGUGCAUUCUAUUGGUACAAACUGGAAAGAAACCACGAGAUUCAGGAAUGACAUCAGUACUGGGUAGAAACAGAACAGAAAGCCAUUCUUGAUUUUGGUGACUGGAGUUGUGGAGGCUGGAAGUCUCUGCCAAUAAAAGCACUGAACUGGACACACACCACUUACCAAUCAAGUUGAUUCUCAAUGUUGU